UACAGCUUCCAAAUGUUGAAAGCGUGUUUAUGCAUGUGAGCAAGUAUGUGCGUGUGGGUGCUUGCAUUGAGGCACAUCUGUCCGUGCUUGCUGUUCAUGUUGCAUGUGGUUCUCAAGGGGAAUUUGCAUGGAGCCUCUUUAUCUGUCUCACGAAGGCAGCCUAACAGCCUAAGGCGCCAGUUGAUUGGUCUCUUGUGGAUCCAUUAGAGGCAUUCCUGAAAGGCUAUAGGUUUGCGACGACCCUGAGCUUUCGUAUGGAAAUGCGUUGCAUGGGUGGAAGCUAUUUAUGCUUGAAAUGAGGAAGGUGGUAAAUAAGCGGUGUCCAAAUGUUGGGAUGACGCUUUCUUGUCCACCCAGGUGAUUUUUCUACCCUGGUAAAACUCUUGGCAGCAAGUUUCUUUCAUAAAAAUAUGACAUGAAACUCACCUUUACAGAAGCUCUCUUUCAUUACUGAAGCAGAAGUUUCUGCAUCGUCAUGCUUGUUUCUGCACUCAAGUGCAGAAAAUUUUCAGAUUUUCCCUUAAUCGGAUGCGAUCAUGUGGGGACUGCUUUUCGUGGCCUUCUGUACGUUGGAGUAGAUUGUUUUGAAGAUUCCCCUGGUCCUUACCACUCUUCAAUGGCUACCAGUGCCUUCUUCAAGCAACUCCAUGGCGGUUGGACCUGAAAUUUUCAGGCGCCUUCCAUAUAAUUGACCCAGUUAAUUAUCUUUUGUCGAAUCACGGCAACCUGCCCUUUUUCUUCCCCGUCAGGCAUACCGUCAUUUAAAAUAAGAAUGCUUAGGAUA